CCUACGGGAGGCAGCAGUGGGGAAUAUUGCACAAUGGGGGGAACCCUGAUGCAGCAACGCCGCGUGGGUGAAGAAGUACUUCGGUAUGUAAAGCCCUGUCAGCAGGGAAGAAAAUGACGGUACCUGACCAAGAAGCCCCGGCUAACUACGUGCCAGCAGCCGCGGUAAUACGUAGGGGGCAAGCGUUAUCCGGAUUUACUGGGUGUAAAGGGAGCGUAGACGGCAAGGCAAGUCUGGAGUGAAAGCCCGUGGCUCAACCACGGGACUGCUUUGGAAACUGUGUUGCUGGAGUGCAGGAGGGGUAAGCGGAAUUCCUAGUGUAGCGGUGAAAUGCGUAGAUAUUAGAAGGAACACCAAUAGCGUAGGCAGGUUGCUGGGACGGUUCUGACACUAAGGCACGAAAGCGUAGGGAGCAAAGGGGAUUAGAUACCCCUGUAGUC
rnacentral:rRNA from 1 species